UAGGCAGAAGUCAGUAGGUUCAGGCAUUUAGCUGUUAACUAAAAUUUUACGGGAUCGAGGCCCGUCUGCCUAG
rnacentral:tRNA from 1 species